GAUGAACGCUGGCGGCGUGCCUAAUACAUGCAAGUCGAGCGAACAGAUAAGGAGCUUGCUCCUUUGACGUUAGCGGCGGACGGGUGAGUAACACGUGGGUAACCUACCUAUAAGACUGGAAUAACUCCGGGAAACCGGGGCUAAUGCCGGAUAACAUUUAGAACCGCAUGGUUCUAAAGUGAAAGAUGGUUUUGCUAUCACUUAUAGAUGGACCCGCGCCGUAUUAGCUAGUUGGUAAGGUAACGGCUUACCAAGGCAACGAUACGUAGCCGACCUGAGAGGGUGAUCGGCCACACUGGAACUGAGACACGGUCCAGACUCCUACGGGAGGCAGCAGUAGGGAAUCUUCCGCAAUGGGCGAAAGCCUGACGGAGCAACGCCGCGUGAGUGAUGAAGGUCUUCGGAUCGUAAAACCCUGUUAUUAGGGAAGAACAAAUGUGUAAGUAACUGUGCACGUCUUGACGGUACCUAAUCAGAAAGCCACGGCUAACUACGU
rnacentral:rRNA from 1 species